AGUUCAACACUUUAAGGCAGGGUUCUAAACUGCUGUUCUUUAGGUUCCACAUUCAGUCUGAUCUGAUCUGCAGUGGACCCAACCAGGAAAAGAAGAACAGAAGAACCCAGAAAGAAUGACAACUGCACAUUUAGG